GAUGAACGCUGGCGGCGUGCCUAAUACAUGCAAGUCGAGCGAACGGACGAGAAGCUUGCUUUUCUGAUGUUAGCGGCGGACGGGUGAGUAACACGUGGAUAACCUACCUAUAAGACUGGGAUAACUUCGGGAAACCGGAGCUAAUACCGGAUAAUAUUUUGAACCGCAUGGUUCAAAAGUGAAAGACGGUCUUGCUGUCACUUAUAGAUGGAUCCGCGCUGCAUUAGCUAGUUGGUAAGGUAACGGCUUACCAAGGCAACGAUGGAUAGCCGACCUGAGAGGGUGAUCGGCCACACUGGAACUGAGACACGGUCCAGACUCCUACGGGAGGCAGCAGUAGGGAAUCUUCCGCAAUGGGCGAAAGCCUGACCCAGCCACGCCGCGUGAGUGAUGAAGGUCUUCGGAUCGUAAAACUCUGUUAUUAGGGAAGAACAGAUGUGUAAGUAACUGUGCACAUCUUGACGGUACCUAAUCAGAAAGCCCCGGCUAACUACGUG
rnacentral:rRNA from 1 species